rnacentral:sRNA from 1 species
AUGGUCGAAGAAGAAGAAGAAAAAAAAUUGUACGAAA